AUGGAUUCCUGGUGGUCGCAGUGGUGAGAGUGAACCCAGCCCCAUAAACACACUGCCCCCACACACACACCAUACACAUUCACACACUGCCCCCAUACACACCAUACACAUUUACACACAUUGCCUCACACACACACAUACACUGCCCACACAUAUACACACAGACCCCCAUACACAGCCCCCCAUACUAACAUUGCCAUACACAUACACUGCCCACACACCCUACACAUUCACACACUACACCCCCACACACACACUGAACCUUUCACACACAUUGCACCACUGCUCCUAUUCCCUACUACAGCCUUAAAUCCCAGCAGACCCCAGGUAAGUUGUCAAACUGUUCUUAAACGGUUUGACUACUUACUCUGGAGCAGUAGUGGUUAUUGUGCAUGGAUUAUUUCUUUAAAUAAUCUACAAG
rnacentral:lncRNA from 1 species